CUACUUACCUGGCAGGGGAGAUACCAUGAUCACGAAGGUGGUUUUCCCAGGGCGAGGCUUAUCCAUUGCACUCCGGAUGUGCUGACCCCUGUGAUUUCCCCAAAUGUGGGAAACUUGACUGCAUAAUUUGUGGUAGUGGGGGGACUGCGUUCGCACUUUCCCCUG
rnacentral:snRNA from 1 species